UACGAAGGGGGCUAGCGUUGCUCGGAAUCACUGGGCGUAAAGGGUGCGUAGGCGGGUCUUUUAAGUCAGGGGUGAAAUCCUGGAGCUCAACUCCAGAACUGCCUUUGAUACUGAAGAUCUUGAGUUCGGGAGAGGUGAGUGGAACUGCGAGUGUAGAGGUGAAAUUCGUAGAUAUUCGGAAGAACACCAGUGGCGAAGGCGACACACUGGCUCACUACUGACGCUGAGGCGCGAAAGCGUGGGGAGCAAACAGG
rnacentral:rRNA from 1 species